rnacentral:rRNA from 1 species
AGUGAACGCUGGCGGUAGGCCUAACACAUGCAAGUCGAACGGCAGCACAGUAAGAGCUUGCUCUUACGGGUGGCGAGUGGCGGACGGGUGGGGAAUACAUCGGAAUCUACUUUUUCGUGGGGGAUAACGUAGGGAAACUUACGCUAAUACCGCAUACGACCUACGGGUGAAAGCAGGGGAUCUUCGGACCUUGCGCGAUUGAAUGAGCCGAUGUCGGAUUAGCUAGUUGGCGGGGUAAAGGCCCACCAAGGCGACGAUCCGUAGCUGGUCUGAGAGGAUGAUCAGCCACACUGGAACUGAGACCCGGUCCAGACUCCUACGGGAGGCAGCAGUGGGGAAUAUUGGACAAUGGGCGCAAGCCUGAUCCAGCCAUACCGCGUGGGUGAAGAAGGCCUUCGGGUUGUAAAGCCCUUUUGUUGGGAAAGAAAAGCAGCAGGUUAAUACCCCGCUGUUCUGACGGUACCCAAAGAAUAAGCACCGGCUAACUUCGUG